rnacentral:rRNA from 1 species
GACGAACGCUGGCGGCGUGCUUAACACAUGCAAGUCGAACGGAAAGGCCCUUCGGGGUACUCGAGUGGCGAACGGGUGAGUAACACGUGGGUGAUCUGCCCUGCACUUUGGGAUAAGCCUGGGAAACUGGGUCUAAUACCGAAUAUGAUCAUCGGCUUCAUGGUCGGUGGUGGAAAGCUUUUGCGGUGUGGGAUGGGCCCGCGGCCUAUCAGCUUGUUGGUGGGGUAAUGGCCUACCAAGGCGACGACGGGUAGCCGGCCUGAGAGGGUGACCGGCCACACUGGGACUGAGAUACGGCCCAGACUCCUACGGGAGGCAGCAGUGGGGAAUAUUGCACAAUGGGCGCAAGCCUGAUGCAGCGACGCCGCGUGAGGGAUGACGGCCUUCGGGUUGUAAACCUCUUUCAGCAGAGACGAAGCGCAAGUGACGGUAUGUGCAGAAGAAGGACCGGCCAACUACGUG